CCAUCUGGGGUGAAUUCUCUUGCCUUGUGCCCAAUGUUACUGGGAGGAUAAAGUGAUUACUGAAGAUGAAUGAAAGACUAAAUGAAUGAAAGAAUGAAUGAAUGAAUGACUUGAUGCCAAGACGGAUAAAUCUUUUCUAACAUGGAAUGUAAUUUGAGAAUCAAAUAUAAAAUAAAUCUUCCCCAAGAGGAGAGGAUAGAAGAAUCCAGUCAAGGAGAAUGAGAACUCUUUUCACACCACUCUGCUCACCAACAUCGGUGAAAAUUUUCUGCUUCUGGUGAAACUUUUUGCAAAAAGUGUGCCAUUUAUACAUCUUUGUAGAAGAAAGCUACGAUAAAUUAGAGACAAAUUUGGUCUGAUCACUUUGUGAGCAAAGGACAAUGGUCAAGCUGUUCUGCAAGAUAAGUUAAGGAUGUUCUGCCUGAAGCUGAGCAGUGGCUUUCACCCUGUUCCCUGCGCAUUGUUCUUUGUUUCUGGGAAGAUUAGCUUUCAAAAUAUACAUGAGAAAUCAGGUAGAGAAUUACACACACAUACACAUACACAUGAGAAAAAUGCAGGUACAAAUAUGAACAAGAAGACGGUAUAUGAC